rnacentral:rRNA from 1 species
CGGGACACGUGGUAUCCUGUCUGAAUAUGGGGGGACCAUCCUCCAAGGCUAAAUACUCCUGACUGACCGAUAGUGAACCAGUACCGUGAGGGAAAGGCGAAAAGAACCCCGGCGAGGGGAGUGAAAAAGAACCUGAAACCGUGUACGUACAAGCAGUGGGAGCACGCUUAGGCGUGUGACUGCGUACCUUUUGUAUAAUGGGUCAGCGACUUAUAUUCUGUAGCAAGGUUAACCGAAUAGGGGAGCCGAAGGGAAACCGAGUCUUAACUGGGCGUUAAGUUGCAGGGUAUAGACCCGAAACCCGGUGAUCUAGCCAUGGGCAGGUUGAAGGUUGGGUAACACUAACUGGAGGACCGAACCGACUAAUGUUGAAAAAUUAGCGGAUGACUUGUGGCUGGGGGUGAAAGGCCAAUCAAACCGGGAGAUAGCUGGUUCUCCCCGAAAGCUAUUUAGGUAGCGCCUCGUGAAUUCAUCUCCGGGGGUAGAGCACUGUUUCGGCAAGGGGGUCAUCCCGACUUACCAACCCGAUGCAAACUGCGAAUACCGGAGAAUGUUAUCACGGGAGACACACGGCGGGUGCUAACGUCCGUCGUGAAGAGGGAAACAACCCAGACCGCCAGCUAAGGUCCCAAAGUCAUGGUUAAGUGGGAAACGAUGUGGGAAGGCCCAGACAGCCAGGAUGUUGGCUUAGAAGCAGCCAUCAUUUAAAGAAAGCGUAAUAGCUCACUGGUCGAGUCGGCCUGCGCGGAAGAUGUAACGGGGCUAAACCAUGCACCGAAGCUGCGGCAGCGACGCUGAUGCGUUGUUGGGUAGGGGAGCGUUCUGUAAGCCUGUGAAGGUGUGCUGUGAGGCAUGCUGGAGGUAUCAGAAGUGCGAAUGCUGACAUAAGUAACGAUAAAGCGGGUGAAAAGCCCGCUCGCCGGAAGACCAAGGGUUCCUGUCCAACGUUAAUCGGGGCAGGGUGAGUCGACCCCUAAGGCGAGGCCGAAAGGCGUAGUCGAUGGGAAACAGGUUAAUAUUCCUGUACUUGGUGUUACUGCGAAGGGGGGACGGAGAAGGCUAUGUUGGCCGGGCGACGGUUGUCCCGGUUUAAGCGUGUAGGCUGGUUUUCCAGGCAAAUCCGGAAAAUCAAGGCUGAGGCGUGAUGACGAGGCACUACGGUGCUGAAGCAACAAAUGCCCUGCUUCCAGGAAAAGCCUCUAAGCAUCAGGUAACAUCAAAUCGUACCCCAAACCGACACAGGUGGUCAGGUAGAGAAUACCAAGGCGCUUGAGAGAACUCGGGUGAAGGAACUAGGCAAAAUGGUGCCGUAACUUCGGGAGAAGGCACGCUGAUAUGUAGGUGAAGCGACUUGCUCGUGGAGCUGAAAUCAGUCGAAGAUACCAGCUGGCUGCAACUGUUUAUUAAAAACACAGCACUGUGCAAACACGAAAGUGGACGUAUACGGUGUGACGCCUGCCCGGUGCCGGAAGGUUAAUUGAUGGGGUCAGCGCAAGCGAAGCUCUUGAUCGAAGCCCCGGUAAACGGCGGCCGUAACUAUAACGGUCCUAAGGUAGCGAAAUUCCUUGUCGGGUAAGUUCCGACCUGCACGAAUGGCGUAAUGAUGGCCAGGCUGUCUCCACCCGAGACUCAGUGAAAUUGAACUCGCUGUGAAGAUGCAGUGUACCCGCGGCAAGACGGAAAGACCCCGUGAACCUUUACUAUAGCUUGACACUGAACAUUGAGCCUUGAUGUGUAGGAUAGGUGGGAGGCUUUGAAGUGUGGACGCCAGUCUGCAUGGAGCCGGCCUUGAAAUACCACCCUUUAAUGUUUGAUGUUCUAACGUUGACCCGUGAUCCGGGUUGCGGACAGUGUCUGGUGGGUAGUUUGACUGGGGCGGUCUCCUCCUAAAGAGUAACGGAGGAGCACGAAGGUUGGCUAAUCCUGGUCGGACAUCAGGAGGUUAGUGCAAUGGCAUAAGCCAGCUUGACUGCGAGCGUGACGGCGCGAGCAGGUGCGAAAGCAGGUCAUAGUGAUCCGGUGGUUCUGAAUGGAAGGGCCAUCGCUCAACGGAUAAAAGGUACUCCGGGGAUAACAGGCUGAUACCGCCCAAGAGUUCAUAUCGACGGCGGUGUUUGGCACCUCGAUGUCGGCUCAUCACAUCCUGGGGCUGAAGUAGGUCCCAAGGGUAUGGCUGUUCGCCAUUUAAAGUGGUACGCGAGCUGGGUUUAGAACGUCGUGAGACAGUUCGGUCCCUAUCUGCCGUGGGCGCUGGAGAACUGAGGGGGGCUGCUCCUAGUACGAGAGGACCGGAGUGGACGCAUCACUGGUGUUCGGG